rnacentral:rRNA from 1 species
GACGAACGCUGGCGGCGUGCUUAACACAUGCAAGUCGAGCGGUAAGGCCCUUUCGGGGGUACGACGAGCGGCGAACGGGUGAGUAACACGUGGGUGACCUGCCCUCAGCUCUGGGAUAAGCCUGGGAAACCGGGUCUAAUACUGGAUAUGACUCCAUGACGCAUGUUGUGGGGUGGAAAGCCUUGUGCGGCUGAGGAUGGGCCCGCGGCCUAUCAGCUUGUUGGUGGGGUGANGGCCUACCAAGGCGACGACGGGUAGCCGGCCUGAGAGGGCGACCGGCCACACUGGGACUGAGACACGGCCCAGACUCCUACGGGAGGCAGCAGUGGGGAAUCUUGCGCAAUGGGCGAAAGCCUGACGCAGCGACGCCGCGUGAGGGAUGACGGGCCUCGGUUGUAACGU